ensembl:lncRNA
CGACACUCGCGGGCGGUGGGGGAGGAGCUGGGGGAGGGGCUCAGGUGGGGGCGGGGCGGGUUGCAGACUCUGGGGCCAGCAAGGUUGUGAACCCUAAGCGGCCGCGCGUCUCUAGCACCGGUGCUCCCGCCGCCGCCGUUAGUGUCUUCAGAGGGCCUGCCUAGGCCCGCCGGGAGCCCAGUUUGUUUUUUCUCGCCGUUUCCAUAGCAACUGCAGCCUCGCGCGGAGAGCUAGCCUGUGAACUAGGCUUGGAGCGCGCGCCUGGCUCCCUUGAGCUUCUCUGGCUGCCUCUAGCAUCGAAGUCAUGGAAGUAAGAGUGUUGGGAAUGAAGUUAUCUUGCCAGUGCUGUGCCAGGGUGGAGCUUGGACACCUGCACAUAGCUAGCCCGGCGUUGGGAUUGGUGACUCUGAUGGCCAGCUUUGCUGCUCUUUCUACGAUGGCUUUUCAGUUCUUAGAGGACACAUUGUGAGCAAUCUCAGCACCGUAAGAUUUGUUGCACAUCAGCAGCACUUCCAGCUCUUUGACAUUGUGGACCAGAAACUUCCGGAAGCCGCUAAGCAGAUAGGCAGAGCAUGUGCUUGGUUUUCUUGUUGCUCCGGUAACCAAUGAUAGGCAUCAGGAUCUGGCCCUUGAAUCUUCUCGGUACCCUGCCUCUGGGUUUUCACCUGUUUCCCUUAAUUUUCACAUAUCGGUCUGACUGGUGCCUAAUGAACUUCUUGGACCUCUUGUUGACGAUCUUGGGCUUCACCAGAGGCCUGAGGGCAAGUGAUACCGCAAAAUAGGUCCAGUGUAGCACUCUCUUCCUUCUGCCUGUUGAUCUGGAUGUAUAAUUCUCAGCCUCUUCUCCAGCAUCUGUCUGCUUGCAUGCUGGCUCCCCACCAUGACACUAUUUUCCAUUCUUUUCAACCAGCCAGCCUGAAAGACUGCUGCAAAACAAAGUGUUCCUUACCCCUUCUAGCUUAAAAUUCUGCUGCUGUUGCUGCUGCUGCUGCUGCUGCUGCUGCUGCUGCUGCUGCUGCUGCUGCUGCUCAUGGUGGCACAUCCCUUUAACCCUGGCACUUAGGAGGCUGAGGCAGUGAAUUUCUGUGAGUUUGAGGCCCUGAUCUGCACUCGGAAGGUGCUUUUUUCUUUCCCUGGAGUGAAAUCAGGAAUCAUCAGCUUGGAAUGCCAUCCUGCUUCCCCUCCCUCUCGCCCCUCCACUGGCCUGCCCUACGCCUCUGCAACCCAAAGCUUGAAUCUCCACUUCCUUUAACAUCUCCAUCUCCAUUUAUCUGUCUCCAUCCAACCAAUGUGUCGAGCCUCUACUUAGAUAUCAUCGCCCCCGGAAAUAAUUUCUGUAUCACUCCCCAGAUCGGGAUGAAUACCCCCAAGUAUUAUAUAUGUCCCUCCGUUGUUUUACCAACUGUACCUGUGUCUUUGUAUGUAUAAUGUAUGUUAAUUAUGAACCCAUAUGUAAAGCUAUGUGUGUAAAUUUCCUGAGGGAAAAGAUUGUUCCUGUUUUAUUCAUCCUCUUUCCUGUGCCUAGCACAGUAAGCAAAAGUAAUUAUUUUGUGAGUGAAUAGAAAAUGUAUUCUAGAGCUGGAGAGAUGGCUCUGGAGAGAUGGCUCAGAGGUUAAGAGCACUGACUGCUCUUCCAGAGGUCCUGAGUUCAAAUCCCAGCAACCACAUGGUGGCUCACAACCAUCUGUAAUGGGAUCCGAUGGCCUCUUCUGGUGUGUCUGAGGACAGCAACAGUGUACUCAUAAAUAAAAAAAUCUUUAAAAAGAAAGAAAGAAAGAAAGAAAGAAAGAAAGAAAGAAAGAAAGAAAAGAAAAUAUAUUCUAAAAAUUAAGAAAAUGAGCUGUUAAAAACUGGAAAAUGUUCUUAUGCCACAAAUUAGUUUCAGGCAAAUAAGCAUUGAAUAAAGAAUUUUGGGGGGAUUUGGGAGGUUUGGGGAGUUGUUUUUGGUUUUGAGACAAGGUUUUACUAGUACUGGGUUUCUGUUUGUUCGUUUUGUUUAUGUUAAAUUAGUAG